GUUACGGAUUCGGAUGCGACCUUCUGCUCCUCCUUGAGAGCACAGAAUGGACAAUUUACAUAAACGAUACAUUAACAACGCAAGGUCCGCCUUUGUGGGGAGACGGAAAGCUCAACUCGGAAAGGAAAGGUUCGAGAGGUCGUUGGCGAACCGCCAUAUCUUAGCGAAAUGUCGAUUCCAAAUAAUACCUUACCCUCAAUAUAAUACCAACUACCAACCCUAAUAGGCGAAAUUUCGUGAGACAUAAUUUUUAUUGACGCAAUAUGUCGACAGGAGGAAGACCCUUACGAGACAUUGGCUUCUUCCGAGGUUUAUAUUCGUCUUCUGUGGCUUGCCGAACACAUGAACCCUCAAAGUCCGAAUAAUUAUAUAGAACGUGCAUUGCUUUGAAGGUCUAGCUGCCUCAGUCUCACGGGAAUCACAAAACCGAUGAUGUAAGACGAAGUGAGGAUGUAUCCCAAAAUAGCGCAUCGACAUAUUGACGGCUUCCUGCCGGGCAAUGAAUUUUGGCAUGUCGUGUGUGAGGGUGCAAGAUUUGAUAUGCUGCACGCGUUCGUCAUCGAUGUCGCAUUCGAGAUAGGGGAGGAAAUGCUAAUAGUUAUUCAACUGCAUGAAAGGAUAACUAUACUGAGCAAAUUAUCAGCCAAAGGGUGGACAAACUAGAAAUAUUAAUACGAUGCGGAUGUGAAUGUGUUGCAGUGUUUGUUGAAUAAAAGCAAAUUGACAAAUGAACAGAAAA